AACGCUAGCUACAGGCUUAACACAUGCAAGUCGAGGGGCAGCAUUGGAGUAGCAAUACUUCAGAUGGCGACCGGCGCACGGGUGAGUAACACGUAUCCAACCUGCCGCUUACUCGGGGAUAGCCUUUCGAAAGAAAGAUUAAUACCCGAUGGUAUAAAGAGUUCGCAUGUUCUCUUUAUUAAAGAAUUUCGGUAAGCGAUGGGGAUGCGUUCCAUUAGAUAGUUGGCGGGGUAACGGCCCACCUAGUCUACGAUGGAUAGGGGUUCUGAGAGGAAGGUCCCCCACAUUGGAACUGAGACACGGUCCAAACUCCUACGGGAGGCAGCAGUGAGGAAUAUUGGUCAAUGGGCGCGAGCCUGAACCAGCCAAGUAGCGUGAAGGAUGAAGGUCCUACGGAUUGUAAACUUCUUUUAUAAGGGAAUAAAGUCACCUACGUGUAGGUGUUUGUAUGUACCUUAUGAAUAAGCAUCGGCUAACUCCGUGCCAGCAGCCGCGGUAAUACGGAGGAUGCGAGCGUUAUCCGGAUUUAUUGGGUUUAAAGGGAGCGUAGACGGGUCGUUAAGUCAGCUGUGAAAGUUUGAGGCUCAACCUUAAAAUUGCAGUUGAUACUGGCGUCCUUGAGUACGGUUGAGGCAGGCGGAAUUCGUGGUGUAGCGGUGAAAUGCUUAGAUAUCACGAAGAACUCCGAUUG
rnacentral:rRNA from 1 species